rnacentral:tRNA from 1 species
GGGGCAGUAGCUUAAUGGUGGAGCUCCUGCUUCCCAUAGGGGAAGACCUGGGUUCGAUUCCCGGUUGCUUCC